rnacentral:lncRNA from 1 species
UGUAUAAAAAAUAAAAUAUUUUAAAACCCAGACGGUUUAUCCAACCGGAAGAGGUACUGGGUCACGAUCACCGGUUUAACCAUCGAUAAACCCGGAUGCAAUCGAAAUAAGGACCGGAUCACGAUCACCGGUCAUAAUUAUAUUUUAUUAGUAUAAAAAUUAAAAUUAUAUAUAGUUAUAGAAAAAAAAUCAAAAUUUACUAAUAUUUUUCUGAUAUCUUUUGGGUACCAUAAUACAACCACAUUACAAAUAAUUCAUGACAUAAUGGCAUCACUAUCAUC